rnacentral:rRNA from 1 species
GAUGAACGCUGGCGGCGUGCCUAAUACAUGCAAGUCGAGCGAACAGACGAGGAUCUUGCUGGUCUGACGUUAGCGGCGGACGUGUGAGUAACACGUGUAUAACCUACCUAUAAGACUGGGAUAACUUCGGGAAACCGGAUCUAAUACCGGAGAAUAUAUUGAACCGCAUGGUUCAAUAGUGAAAGACGGUGUUGCUGUCUCUUAUCGAUGGAUCCGCGCCUCAUUAUCUAGUUGUUAAGGUAACGGCUUACCAAGGGAACGAUGCGUAGCCGACCUGAGGGGGUGAUCGGCCACACUGGAACUGAGACAGGGUCCAGACUCCUACGGGAGGCAGCAGUAGGGAAUCUUCCGCAAUGGGCGAAAGGCUGACGGAGCAACGCCGCGUGAGUGAUGAAGGUCUUCGGAUCGUAAAACUCUGUUAUUAGGGAAGAACAAAUGUGUAAGUAACUAUGCACGUCUUGACGGUACCUAAUCAGAAAGCCACGGCUAACUACGUG